CACCAUCGUGGUGCUCUUUGUCAUACGCAUAGAAUUGACAAAAGAGAACCCUAAGCUAUAAAUUAGGUCAUGUUGAGCGGUUGCCAGUUGCCAAGACCUAGGGUUUUGUUCGAA
rnacentral:tRNA from 1 species